GUGAACGCUGGCGGCAGGCCUAACACAUGCAAGUCGAACGGCAGCACAGUAAGAGCUUGCUCUUAUGGGUGGCGAGUGGCGGACGGGUGAGGAAUACAUCGGAAUCUACUCUUUCGUGGGGGAUAACGUAGGGAAACUUACGCUAAUACCGCAUACGACCUACGGGUGAAAGCGGAGGACUUCGGGCUUCGCGCGAUUGAAUGAGCCGAUGUCGGAUUAGCUAGUUGGCGGGGUAAAGGCCCACCAAGGCGACGAUCCGUAGCUGGUCUGAGAGGAUGAUCAGCCACACUGGAACUGAGACACGGUCCAGACUCCUACGGGAGGCAGCAGUGGGGAAUAUUGGACAAUGGGCGCAAGCCUGAUCCAGCCAUGCCGCGUGGGUGAAGAAGGCCUUCGGGUUGUAAAGCCCUUUUGUUGGGAAAGAAAAGCAGUCGGUUAAUACCCGAUUGUUCUGACGGUACCCAAAGAAUAAGCACCGGCUAACUUCGUGCCAGCAGCCGCGGUAAUACGAAGGGUGCAAGCGUUACUCGGAAUUACUGGGCGUAAAGCGUGCGUAGGUGGUGGUUUAAGUCUGUUGUGAAAGCCCUGGGCUCAACCUGGGAAUUGCAGUGGAUACUGGGUCACUAGAGUGUGGUAGAGGGUAGCGGAAUUCCCGGUGUAGCAGUGAAAUGCGUAGAGAUCGGGAGGAACAUCCGUGGCGAAGGCGGCUACCUGGACCAACACUGACACUGAGGCACGAAAGCGUGGGGAGCAAACAGGAU
rnacentral:rRNA from 1 species